rnacentral:lncRNA from 1 species
CGCAGGCAUAAAAGUGAAGAACCUGGAGACACGCUGCCAUUCCUACAGGGGUCCAUACUGUAGCCGAGAUGAGAUCUGUGCAUAUGAGAAGACCGAACUGAAGUGUAUUGUCAACUGCACCUGCUACGGUCAAUACAAGGCAGUGUGCGCUCGUACACUGGGCCAGGAGCCGUGCAAUGAUGGGAGUAUCGCCAUCGUCACACCUGGUGUCCCCGGAUACGUGUGCGACCCCUGCCGCUCUGAAACCGAGGUGCUCACAGCUGCGCGUGGUGACUGACUCAACGGCUGGCAGGCUUCUCCUCCUCGGGGGCGCUUAGAUGCAGUAAUGUGUAGCAGAAGUUAUUUCGCG